ACGCGGGCAUCAGCUGGACCAUUGUUGUGAUAGCAGAUGCUUUGCAGUGCAGCAUCGGAAGCGCGUCCUUUUAAACCCGAUGGGUAUACGAAAGUUUUUCAAAAAGCGAGAGGACACAGCAGAGGAGGAGGAGAGGAGAGAAGGAGGAGAAGAGGUUGAGGCAGAAAGACAGACAGUGGACGAGAGUGAGGAAGGGAGUCCAGGUUCAGAGGAGGUCGAACAAAUAGAUCUGCAGGGAGACAUAGAGGGAUCUGAGAAAGAGGCAGAAGGUGAACAAGCAGGCCACCAUGAGGAAGAAAAAGACCAAGCAGCUGCUGCUCCCCUUUGUGAUUUAGGUAACAAGGACACAGGUCCCAGACAGGUGAAGCUGAAUAGCUAUCCACAGGAGAGCUUUGGUGCACAGAAAAGGGCAUUUAACCACAGCUGGUUUGCUAGGUACCAUUGGUUAGAGUACUCAGUUAGCCGGGAUGCUGCAUUCUGCUUCCCAUGUAGAGUGUUUGGAAAAAACAUUAGAAAUGACACUUUCAUUAGCAGUGGUUGCAGACAGUGGAAGAAAGCUUUGGCUUUCUUCAACAAGCAUGACUCUGCACAGUCCCACAAGGACAGUGUAGCAGCA